GGGGAAUUGGAGACGCGAGGCUUUCUGUGAAGCCGGCCUGUGAGGGAUCCGGUGGAGAGAUCACUAGUGAGAAUGAUGACAUGAGUAGCGACAAAGAGUGUGAGAGACACUCUCGCCGAAAGUCCAAGGGUUCCUGCUUAAAGCUAAUCUGAGCAGGGUAAGCCGACCCCUAAGGCGAGGCCGAAAGGCGUAGUCGAUGGGAACCAGGUUAAUAUUCCUGGGCCAGGAGGAUGUGACGGAUUGUGGCGGCGUGCGUGCCUUAUCGGAUUGGCGCGUAUCCAAGACAGUCCCUGGAAAUAGCCCUCCAUGAGAUCGUACCCUAAACCGACACAGGUGGACUGGUAGAGAAUACCAAGGCGCUUGAGAGAACGAUGUUGAAGGAACUCGGCAAAAUACCUCCGUAAGUUCGCGAGAAGGAGGCCCGGCGUAAGAGCGUCGGGGGCACAAACCAGGGGGUGGCGACUGUUUAUUAAAAACACAGGGCUCUGCGAAGUCGCAAGACGACGU
rnacentral:rRNA from 1 species